rfam:Salmo salar isolate Sally breed double haploid chromosome ssa10, whole genome shotgun sequence.
UGCAUUCACUUCUUUAAGUCGCUCUGGAUAAGAGUGUCUGCUAAAUGACAAAAA